rnacentral:rRNA from 1 species
AUUGAACGCUGGCGGCAGGCCCAACACAUGCAAGUCGAACGAGUGGCGGAAGGGUGAGUAAUGUCUGGGAAACUGCCUGAUGGAGGGGGAUAACUACUGGAAACGGUAGCUACUACCGCAUACCAUCAGAUGUGCCCAGAUGGGAUUAGCUUGUGUGUGGGGUAACGCAUCACCAAGGUGACGAUCCAUAGCUGGUCUGAGAGGAUGACCAGCCACACUGGAACUGAGACACGGUCCAUACUCCUACGGGAGGCAGAAGGGGGGAAUAUUGCACAAUGGGCGCAAGCCGUAUGCAGCCAGGCCGCGUGUAUGAAGAAGGCCUUCGGGUUGUAAAGUACUUUCAGCGGGGAGGCGUUACCCGCAGAAGAAGCACCGGCUAACUCCGUGCCAGCAGCCGCGGUAAUAC